AGGAAACAUGCCCAGCGUAGGGUGAAGGGUGGUGCAGUACACAGAUCCUCAUCCUGCAAACAAAGACAAGGACGGGCGGAGCUAGAAUGACUUUAUCUCGUUUUUCAAAUAUUCUGCGGCAUGUUUACAAAUACACCCAGGCUUCCCGAGUGCCAGGCGUGGCACUAAACACUGGAGCCUGGCAUUCUUGAUCUCACAACUGAAGCAGGUUUUAUUUUACAAAUGAGGACGCGGCAGGAGGGAGAGACUGCCCGGCUCCACGGCUGGCUGGAGUUGGCGCUUGAACCCAGUCAUCCUCGCAUCAGUUUCCCAGUGCCCCUCAGCAGAGCACGGAGGCGAGCAGGAUCUCAUGCCAUCCCCGCCCCGCCGCCAGAGCUCAGAGGAAGCAGGAUUUGUUGGGACAAUGCCCUUCUCGUCACCGGGCUGUCAUCAGAAUGAAACGCUGCCGACACCAUACUGGCGGAAAUGAAAACCCCUCCAUAAAGGGACAGCAGUUGCUCUUGCUCUGACUGUCGCUGGGAGAGAACAGGCCCCACUGAACUUCAGGGAAGAUCCUGGACGCAGAGCCUUCUUGUCGCAGCCUCUGAUAGAGAUGACCUCAUCCCUGCACCCUGAAGCAGAACAGCAGCUCCGGCUGGGGCUGAUUCAUUGGGGUUUGCUGCGGGAGCUGAGCAGCAGCUAACGAACUCCCACUGUAUGCGGAGGCAGCUCCGUCCUCCUCGGAUCAGGAGAAACCUGGAAUCCUAGAUCCCCACACCCUGGCAGAUGCGUUCUCAGGGAUGGCCCGGGUCAGCACCAGCCAAUGCAGACAGCCUGUGGGCUGCCAGGAUGGACCUGCAGACAGAGCUGGGGGUGUGGGGCAGGAAACCGACGGCCCAAAGUGUGAAGUCACAGUUCUUCACAGGGUGGUGGGACAACAGGGUUCCGAUUUCCAUUUUGUGGGGCCAGAGUGGGAUGUGAUUCUUCUCGCUUGUCUUGUUUCCUUCAAACCCCAGCACACACAGCGCCAGCCUCCCUGAGCAGCUGCUCCUGCCUGUCCACAGUGCUUUUUACAAGUCGCUAGGUUUCAAGUGGUUGAGCGUGUGGACCGGUGAACAUAUGUCCCAAAACCUUGGCUGUGAGCAGUGGCCAGGUCAACCUUCUUCUCCCUACUUCAUAAAAGGAAACUGAGGUACAGCUCUGCAUGGCAUGUUCUGAGGCUCUAGGUCUGACCCACGCUCCCUCCCCCAGGUAGAGACACAGCGGUAAGCAGUCCUACUCUGCAAAGAGGAGUGGAGCCCAGAGGGCUACAGUGACUUCCCUGAAGCCACUCAUCAAAUUACAGCGUGAACCUUCCCUGCCCUUUUCCUGCUGUCUCUACUCAGGAGAGGCCCUGUGUGGGGAAUGCCUCACUCAAGGGCCAGCUCCCCAACAAAUGAUCACCUCUUCACCAAAAGGAGACCUCUCCACCCACGCCCUCCAAACGCCACCCUCGGCAGCUCCCCCUGCCACUCCCAGGGGCCUGCACCAAGGCAUCCAUCUAUUUUGAGCUGGUGCAAAGGACGCAGAGCCAGAGCCCUGAAGGGGAGCUCAGGGAGCAAGAGAGGGACAGGAACUACACACGGGGGGCUGUGCAGUGUCAUAGCACUGGGGCAGGAAUCGACAGGUACCAUCAAGAACAAGGGGGGCGGUGGCGGACUCCACCAACCGGUCAGGAAGAAGCCAAAGAAGGGCCCUAGAGCUGAGAGCUGAGCCCCCCACCCACACCCUCAACAACAGGGUGAGGAGGGUGAUUCCAGGCAGAGUGUAGAGGGGCCCUCAGGGAACCCUCUCCAACAAGUCUCAUGGCUGGAGCUCAGGGGGUCAGCGUGGGCAGGUCACCAAGGGUCUUGGACUAUACACCUGGCAGACAUUAAGAGGUUCUUAAAGGUGUGAGCAUAGGCCAGGCGAGGUGUCACAUGCCUGUAAUCCUUGCACUUUGGGAGGCCAAGGCGGGUGGAUCACCAGAGGUCAGGAGUUCAAGACCAGCCUGGCCAACAUGGUGAAACCCCGUCU